ensembl:lncRNA
UACCCAGUUGGGAGAGUGAAUCAGGAUAUGAGACCUUUCAGACUACACAGCUGUAACUACAGUGAGGAAAAACUUGGAAUAUCCUGGAGGACAAAGGAGACUGCAAGACUCCCCCCAGUUUCUUACUGUGAAACCCUGAGUGCCCCAGUGUGAACCUACUGGCUCACACAGAUUUCUGGAGAUGGAUAGCAAGAGGAAGAAAAAGAUGAAGAAGAAGAAGAAGAAAUGAGAGAGAGAAAGAAGUAGACUAUAGCAACUGAUUUUCUACGGGAAAGCCCCUUUGACAGCCACUACUGAUGAUUAUAAGUUACGUCACUUAAAAGGAUGAAAUUACUCACAUAUCCUCAGGCUCUGUGGGGAGGCACAGCUCUGAAUCGCUCCAAGCCAUAGGGGAGGGUGGAAGAAGAAUGGACAGCUGAAUCAGCUAUGAGAUCAGUGACUCAACGGCAAGAAAAUUAUGCUAGCAGGUUGCAUUGUGGAGCCAUUUCAAGAUAGCCAAGCAGAUUUUCUUCCAGCCAGAACUAAAUCAGAAGAUGCAGGCCUGCCUCCCUUCAAAUGCUAUCAGGUAUGGACUGAUACUGUUUCCAACUCAGAGGAUCACCAUGUCUUACAAACACUAAAAAGAACAGCAUGCCACUCAGUGCCUGGGAAACAGGCAGUUGCAUUACAGUUACAGUUAUCCAAAAUGUGUCAGAAAAAGAGAAGUUCUCUGCAGAGGAAACCUGGCGUGCUGCAAGAGAAGAAAAUAGAGAAGCUGGAUCAUCUUUAACAACAAAAUAGUAAGAAAUCAGUCUGGUAUUUGCUAACCACAACUGUGAGUAACCAGUAACAAAUAUAACUACAGGGUACAUAUCUGAGUGAUUAUCAGAAUGCCAACUUUCUGAGGAAGGCAGGAAUUGCUUCGGAGCGUUAAAAAAUCCCAGUUUCUGCUGGCUCUCAGAAAUACCUGAAAGUACUUUAAUGAAAGAGACUUUGCUUGAAUUGCUGGACUUUACUGCUUGUAGAUAUUCCCUUAUUACUCUUAAAUUUUGUUAAAAAGUUUUGUUUAGUAUAUGUCAUUCAGAAUGUAUUUAGACAUCCUAUGACAGUUUUAUUGCAAAGAAAUUUGAAAUUGUUUCCUUCUCUACCUGUGAAGGAGGAAAAAAAACAAAAAAGUCAAUAGCUGUUUGGGAGGAUGUCACUGAAAACAUAUACUUGAGAAAAACAAAGAUAGCAAUUUGGUUUGAAUUUGCCAAGUAAUUUUAGCAGAAAUGCUCUUAAAAUAUAUUAAAAAAAAAAAAAGCAUAUAUGUAUUUAAAAAUAUAUAUAUAUUAAAAAAUUAUAUAUAUAUAUAUAAUGAAUUGUUUCAACAUAUCAAUAUUUGUGUACAUGACUGUAUGGGAACUGUUGAGUCAUGGCCUGAACCACUGAUUGAGCACCUAGGGAAAGGACCAGAGCAGCCCUGGGAGCACAGGUGAAGGCAAUUCAGAUGUAUGACCAGAAGGGCCGGAGCCUGGCUGCACCUCUCUUAGACCUCAUUUAAGGACUGACUGCCCCUGGGGAAGGAUCUCUAGUUGGAGAUCCCUCCCUUUGGAGUUUUCUGUCUGAGUCUAGAUCUUCAGAGAUGGGUGUGCACUUUUCUUUUGUACCACUAUUCCAUUUGUGUUAGUCCUUUUGCUACUACACUCAUGUAUUUCCCUUCGACUGUAUUGACCUUUCUGAUUUUAACAGUGACAUAAAAGUCAAAGAAAGGCUCUGUAGUUAGGCCAUUUAGAUUAGAAAUUCGAGGCUCAUGUUGCACUCCACCUUCUUGAGAAGUUUUGAACUGGUAUUACUGAAGAGUUGCACUAGCCCCUCACAAUUCCUUAAUGUAAUACAGAUAGGGUUUCUCAAUGUCUUUCACUGAGAGUGACUUAUUUAGACAAGGAGAGGUAGGGAGAGAAUGCAGCAAUUGAUAGCUGGCAAAGGUAUGGAACACCUGGACUCAAACUCCAUGGUCUAAUACAAAAUAGAAUGUCAACAAGUUGAACAUAAGCCAGCAGUGUGCCUGGGCAGCCCAAAGGCCAACUGCCCCCUGGGGUGCACCAGACCUGGCAUUGCCACCGGGUGAGGAAAGCAGUUGUCUCGCUCUGCUCUGCAUUGUGCAGCCUCACCUCAAGAACUGUGUGUGGUUUUAGAUGCCACGAUGUAAAGACAUAAAACUAUUAGAGAGCAUCCAAAGAAAGAGCUACGAAGAUGGUGAAGGGUCUGUUGGGCAAGGUGUGUGAGGAGCAGCUGAGGGCCCUGGGUUUCUUCAGCCCAGAGCACAGGAGCUGAGGCGAGGCCUCAUGGUGGCUGCAGCUCCUCACAGGGAGCAGAGGGGCAGCGCUGAGCUCUGCUCUGUGACAGCGGCAGGGCCCGAGGGAACGGCAUGGUGCUGUGUCAGGGGAGGAGCAGCUGGAGGUUAGGGACAGGGGCUGUACCAGAGGGCGGUGGGCAUGGAACGGCCUGCCCAGGGCAGUGGGCGCAGCCCCGAGCUGCCAGUGUUCAGGAAUCUCAUGGGUCCUUUCCAACUCAGGAUAUUGUAUGUUUUUAUGAUUCCAAACCUCCAUUUCCCUGACUUUUAUCAGUGUGUGUGUGUGUGUGUGUGUGUGUGUGUGUGUGUGAAAACUGAAAGGAAAUAGCAAACUUAAAGUCAAUACUUCCAAGAAAAUCCAGGUUUGGAGGUCAAAAAUAAGAUUUCCCUAUGCUAGAAGAAGUGGGUUCCAUUUAAUUUUCUAGGUUUAAUCUUGAUGAUAAAAAUAUCCUAAUAGUAUUAGUGCCUGUUAUUUUUUUUUCUUUUUUCUUUUCUGCAACUGAGUAACAACAACAAAAAGUGAAAAUAAAACUCAAUCUUUGUUUCAAACCAAGGUUCCUUGUAUAGUGUAACAGAAAUAAUUGUCACCAUUCAAAGAAAAUCUCAUUCAGAUGUUGCUGAAUAAUUCAUGGUCUGUUUUCUGACUGAACUUCAUAGCAGUUAUUGGAAUGUAACUCAUCUGACUGUUAGGAAUUCAUGUGACCAUUUAAUGCACAUUUAGAUACAUGUAGAGAUGUUCAGCUUUCUCAUCUGCAUAUCUGGGGCAGUGAAAAUUGUCUCAGUACCCUUUAGAUUUCCAGUUGGCAUUUGCUGAUGUAGGUUAAUGGUCACUGAGGCACAAUAUUAUCAUUGCUACCAUACCUCCCAUAUCUUAGAAGAAUGUUUCUGUUGCGUUUGCUGCUGUUUGCUGUUGUAUAAAAGGGAAAGACUUAAACUAAAAAAUAGCAUUUGUUGAGCACAAAUGUUUUCAUUUCCAAGAAUCCGAGUGAUUUAAUUAUAUAAUCAAUUAUAAAAUGUGCUUCAUACUACAAGCAACAUUCAGACAAAUUAUUUUAAUUAAUACUAAACUUUAAAAAAUGUCAUAAAAUGCCUAUUUUUCCCAGACAGAACAUGCUAUCUGUCACUGAUAUUAUAUGGGUAUUCAUGUUAAAGGACGAUUUGGUCUAUUCAGCAACCACUUUAAUCAACAGGCAAAAUUAAUUCUCCUUUUUGUUUGCUAUGUAUUUGGUGUCAGAGAAUGCUGUACACCAGCAUUUUCAGCCUAUGUUCUGAGCUAGGGUGCUUUCUUCCUUUGUUACUAUGCACGUCUUUUGAGUAUUACCUCCAUUUUUCUACUGAAGUGACACUUAUUUUUAUGAAAGCACAGUCAGAUCCUUGCAGUUCGCAAAGAGUGCGUUUAGUCUGAACUAAGUUUCUGUGUCUGAAUGGAAAGUAGAGAAUCAAAGGAGUUCACUUAAAUACUUUUUCUUUGCAUUCUGAAACUAACAAAACUUGUGUUCUGCCAAAACUGGUAAAGGAAAUUUAAUUUCCAAGAUAUGAAGUUGUGGAAGAAACUCUAUUGCCCUAGAGAAUGAAUCCUGGGGCAGUCAGAUCUGGUGUGGUAAUGCACAAAGCCAGUGCUUCAGAUAAUUCUCCUAAUCUUUGGAGGAAGUUAUGUUUAACAGCAAAGUUAACUCAAGCAAGAAGUGAGCUCUCUUAAAUAUCCAAACUACAGAAAUAUCUUGCAGGGCUUUUUUUUUUCCCCUUAGGUUCAAUAUAAAUUCAAUUUCAUAGGACUAUGUGAGCAGAGAUAGCUACAGAUCUGCAAAACCUGUAGAAAUUGUGUGCUUUUAAACUUGCCUAACUUGCUUAUUCACAAACCCCAUUAUAACUGUC